rnacentral:rRNA from 1 species
GUUUAUUUGAUAGUACCUAUCCUACAUGGAUAACAGUGGUAAUUCUAGAGCUAAUACAUGCUGAAAAUCCCGACUUCGGAAGGGACGUAUUUAUUAGAAUCAGAACCAAUGCCCUUCGGGGUUCCUUGGUGAAUCAUGAUAACUCCACAGAUCGCAUGGCCUUGCGCCGGCGAUGGCUCAUUCAAAUUUCUUCCCUAUCAACUUUCGACGGUACGGUCUUGGCCUACCGUGGUUGCAACGGGUGACGGAGGGUUAGGGCUCGACCCCGGAGAAGGAGCCUGAGAAACGGCUACUACAUCCAAGGAAGGCAGCAGGCGCGCAAAUUAUCCAAUCCCGACUCGGGGAGAUAGUGACAAUAAAUACCGAUACAGGGCUCUUUUGGGCCCUGUAAUUGGAAUGAGUACAAUUCAAACCUCUUAACGAGGAACAAUUGGAGGGCAAGUCUGGUGCCAGCAGCCGCGGUAAUUCCAGCUCCAAUAGCGUAUAUUAAAGUUGUUGUGGUUAAAAAGCUCGUAGUCGAACCUCGAGCCUGGCCGGCCGGUCCGCCUCACCGCGUGCACUGGUCUGGCCGGGCUCUUCCCUCUGCGGAACCGCAUGCCCUUCGCUGGGCGUGUCGGGGAGGCAGGACUUUUACUUUGAAAAAAUUAGAGUGCUCAAGGCAGGCCAAUGCUCGGAUACAUUAGCAUGGAAUAAUAGAAUAGGACGUUGGUUCUAUUUUGUUGGUUUCUAGGACCGCCGUAAUGAUCAAUAGGGACGGUCGGGGGCAUCAGUAUUCAGCCGUCAGAGGUGAAAUUCUUGGACCGGCUGAAGACUAACUACUGCGAAAGCAUUUGCCAAGGACGUUUUCGCUGAUCAGGAACGAAAGUUAGGGGAUCGAAGACGAUCAGAUACCGUCGUAGUCUUAACCAUAAACUAUGCCGACUAGGGAUCGGGCGGCGUUCUUUCUAGACCCGCUCGGCACCUUUCGAGAAAUCAAAGUGCUUGGGCUCCAGGGGGAGUAUGGCGGCAACGCUGAAACUUAAAGAAAUUGACGGAAGGGCACCACCAGGGGUGGAACCUGCGGCUUAAUUUGACUCAACACGGGGAAACUCACCAGGUCCAGACACAAUGAGGAUUGACAGAUUGAGAGCUCUUUCUUGAUUUUGUGGGUGGUGGUGCAUGGCCGUUCUUAGUUGGUGGAGUGAUUUGUCUGCUUAAUUGCGAUAACGAACGAGACCUUGACCUCUAAAUAGAUCGUACCGCCCCGGCGGUAUUGCGUCUUCUUAGUGGGACUAUCGGCUCAAGCCGAUGGAAGUUCGAGGCAAUAACAGGUUGACCUACACAGGCCUGUAACAGUGGGCCUCUAUAAAGAUAACUGCUAGUCCAGCGUCUUUGUCUCCUUGGGGAAGCCCCCAUUAUCGGGAGGAGACGUGGCUGCCGCUAGGCGCUGCGUGACGCGGGCAACACUACCUGGUACAGGGAACGCCGGAGUCUGCUGGGAGUUUUUCAAGAUUUCCAGCGGGUGCUUGGCCGAUCCUGUGGCGAGCUCGAGUAGCGUCGAGCCGUCGCAACGCGCGCAAAGGAGUGGGCUGAUGUUACUGUUCUGUAACUCGGCUUAAGGUACGUGCUAAUCCCUUGGGGAACCAAGCUCUCACGACAAGAUCCGAUAAAUCAAAGCGUGAGGGGGGCAAGUCGAAAGUCUUGCCUGGUCCAUCCUGGUGAUGGAAAUGCUGUGAUGCCCUUAGAUGUCCUGGGCCGCACGCGCGUUACACUGACAGAGCCAGCGAGUUCCUCCCUUGGCCGGAAGGCACGGGUAAUCUUGUGAAACUCCGUCGUGAUGGGGAUAGAGCAUUGCAAUUGUUGCUCUUCAACGAGGAAUCCCUAGUAAGCGCAAGUCAUCAGCUUGCGUUGAUUACGUCCCUGCCCUUUGUACACACCGCCCGUCGCUACUACCGAUUGAAUGGCUCAGUGAGGUUUUCGGACUGGCUCAGGGACGUGGGCGACCGCAACC